rnacentral:rRNA from 2 species
GGUCCCAAGGGUUGGGCUGUUCGCCCAUUAAAGCGGUACGCGAGCUGGGUUCAGAACGUCGUGAGACAGUUCGGUCCCUAUCCGUCGCGGGCGCAGGAAAUUUGAGAGGAGCUGUCCUUAGUACGAGAGGACCGGGAUGGACGCACCGCUGGUGUACCAGUUGUUCUGCCAAGGGCAUCGCUGGGUAGCUAUGUGCGGACGGGAUAAGUGCUGAAAGCAUCUAAGCAUGAAGCCCCCCUCAAGAUGAGAUUUCCCAUUCCGCAAGGAAGUAAGAUCCCUGAAAGAUGAUCAGGUUGAUAGGUCUGAGGUGGAAGUGUGGCGACACAUGGAGCUGACAGAUACUAAUCGAUCGAGGACUUAACCACAUUU